rnacentral:piRNA from 1 species
UAAUAAGCCGCAACUGGAAGCGUAGA